GGAGCUGGCCUCUCGGGGCAUGUGCACGCCCGAGCCCUUAAUCCACACACACCUGUGAACCUAUUGUAAGGGCCCUUAAAAAAGGCCUUUACGUCUUAUCAUCAACCCAUCGUAUGUCUCAUAGAAUGUAAAUAUAUGUCCUCGCCUUAAAAAGCGUUGAUAAACUUAUACAACUUUCAACAACGGAUCUCUUGGCUCUCGCAUCGAUGAAGAACGCAGCGAAAUGCGAUAAGUAAUGUGAAUUGCAGAUUUUCAGUGAAUCAUCGAAUCUUUGAACGCACCUUGCGCUCCUUGGUAUUCCGAGGAGCAUGCCUGUUUGAGUGUCAUUAAAUUCUCAACUCUGAUCGAUUUGUUUCGACUUCGGAGCUUGGAUUUGGAGCGUGCUGGCGUCGGUCGGCUCCUCUUAAAUGCAUCAGCGGAAUCUAACGUUUCGGACGUCAGUGUGAUAAUCAUGUUGCGCUGUCUGUCUGAUCCGAAAGCCCGCUCACAAUGGUCUUCGGACAACUUCAUAUCAAAUUUGACCUCAAAUCAGGUAGGACUACCCGCUGAACUUAAGCAU
rnacentral:rRNA from 1 species